rnacentral:sRNA from 1 species
UAUUCUGCCCUACAGGGAAGGAUGAGAAGCUUCGACUAAGGUUCGACUCGAGCGAAGCGAGAGAACGUUGCCGCAGGCAAUGGCCCGAAGGCGAGGCGCUUUAGCGCCGAGUAAUCCUUCCCCCACCACUG